rnacentral:rRNA from 1 species
UACGGAGGGAGCUAGCGUUUAUUCGGAAUUACUGGGCGUAAAGCGCACGUAGGCGGCUUUGUAAGUUAGAGGUGAAAGCCUGGAGCUCAACUCCAGAAUUGCCUUUAAGACUGCAUCGCUUGAAUCCAGGAGAGGUGAGUGGAAUUCCGAGUGUAGAGGUGAAAUUCGUAGAUAUUCGGAAGAACACCAGUGGCGAAGGCGGCUCACUUGGACUGGUAUUGA